rnacentral:rRNA from 1 species
AGGACGAACGCUGGCGGCGUGCCUAACACAUGCAAGUGGAGCGACGAACCGGGGCUUGCCCCGGGGCAGAGCCGCGAACGGGUGAGUAACACGUGGGUGACCUACCCCGAUGACUGGGACAACCCGUCGAAAGACGGGCUAAUACCGGAUGUGCCCCUUGGGGGAAAGGAAGCUUCGGCCUCCGCAUCGGGAUGGGCCCGCGGCGCAUUAGCUUGUUGGUGGGGUAAUGGCUUACCAAGGCGACGAUGCGUAGCUGGUCUGAGAGGACGAUCAGCCACACUGGGACUGAGACACGGCCCAGACUCCUACGGGAGGCAGCAGUGGGGAAUCUUGCACAAUGCGCGAAAGCGUGAUGCAGCAACGCCGCGUGCGGGAAGAAGGCCUUAGGGUUGUAAACCGCUUUCAGUUGGACGAAGCUUCAGUCGUUAAUAGCGGUUUGGAGUGACGGUACCUUCAGAAGAAGCGCCGGCUAACUACGUGCCAGCAGCCGC